UACGAAGGGGGCUAGCGUUGCUCGGAAUCACUGGGCGUAAAGGGCGCGUAGGUGGCGACGUAAGUCGGGUGUGAAAUCCCCAGGCUUAACCUGGGAACUGCAUUCGAGACUGCAUUGCUAGAGUAUGGGAGAGGGAAGUGGAAUUUCCGGUGUAGCGGUGAAAUGCGUAGAUAUCGGAAGGAACAUCAGUGGCGAAAGCGACUUCCUGGACCAAUACUGACGCUCAUGUGCGAAAGCGUGGGGAGCAAACAGG
rnacentral:rRNA from 1 species